rnacentral:lncRNA from 1 species
CUGAAAUCUUCUGGCUUCGCCAAUGGCAGACUCUAUCAUAGAGUCUAAAGUUAUUUAUUACCUCGAACAAUGUGGACUUGGAGUCUAAAUAAGACUUGAAGUCUUAUUUUUUCCACCUCUUUCUUCAAUAAAUAUGCUGCCACAUCAGCAAAAUACCAUAAAUAAUAUGUAAUUAAAUGUCUUGGAUUCUGUGAUGGAGUCUUGCAUUGUGAGUGCCCUUAGCAUUCUAUUACUGCACUUGAUGCUUUCCCCUACUAUGUGCUUGCUCCAAUUCUUAUUGUAAAAGCUUGGGUGCUGCAUGUAAUUUAUUCCUAUUUAGUUUUUUUACAUGGAUCUAGAUGACAGUGAGAUGUCAGGCUCUUUGUCAAAAUCUAAAAAGCGAUGAAAUGGACUAACAUUACAUGUGUACACUGACUUGUGAACAUGUGAUCGCGGUAGCUAGAUUUACAGAGGCGUCCGUCCCGAGCAUCUGCAAAUGGUCCAUUAACAUAUAUAGACCAUUUGGUAGAGGCAAUUGGACCACGUGCCUCUAUAAAUCCAAAAAAAAAUUGUCUCUAAAAGGCCCUUAUUCUAGUAGUGGCCGGAUAUUGUCAAAACCAGCAACCUAAUGGAAGAACGAAUCAAAUCAAAACUAAUAAAAUAUUAUAUCGAAUAUGAGGAUGGGACCAAAAAAUAUAUAAUGUAAGUGCCUUGAAUGCUGAUAGAUUGAAAAAUAGUUAAUUACUGCACUUUGUGUAGGAUGAUGUAUUGAUGCGGCAUGCACUUACUAACUAGGGAUGACUUUGAUAGCUGGCAUGUUGAGAUUAUUGAAAGCAUAGAGUUUAUUUUUAUAAGAUACUAGCAAAUAUAUGCUCAUGUAUUACAACAAAGAUUAGCAAGACUUACCGAACAGGCUCAGCUAAAUGAUCACAUUCCUUAAUUUAGCUCAGGUCUAUAGGAAACUAAACAAGAGCUUAGACUUCUUGGAAAGGUUCCUGUCGUAAAGAGAGAUUGUUUACGUUCUCGCUAGCAUACUCCCUCCGUUCCAAACAGUUUUUUUUUAAAAAAAAUAAAAUAAAAUAAAAAUCACACACGUCUCAUGAGAGCGAGGACUUUACUGUACCUAGACAUCAAAAGUGACAAACAUCAAUUAUAGCUUUCAAAUAUGUACUAGUUCUAAGAAGAUAACAUAAGGCAGGGCAAAUUAGUUGACAAAUAAAUAAUUGAUGAUAUAAAGCUCGGCAAUACAGCCACCAUUACCACGCCUAUAUAGCAACCAACCAUGAAUACGACUAUCAAGUCAGAUUUGAUGACCAAAAACGUCCAUUGCACGGUCUGAACACCGAGCUAGUAAACUGUCUUUCUCGACUCGGGUAAUCUAUUUAGGGGUUUGUUUGGCAUAGCUCAACUUCACUAGUAAAACUGUUUUUUUAGAAAAUAGUUUCAUGAGUGACUUUCUUUACGAAGCUGAGCUGUUUUGGAAAAAGUGUUUGACAAAAUAGCUUCACAAACUACUUCAUGCAUAGUUGAGAGAGAGAAAUGAGAGAGAGAGAGCUGCAACAAGCUACUUUUUUCAGCUUCAUCCCAACUUAUGUCUUUGUGAGAGGAGGGGAAAAACAGCUUCACCAUGAAGCUGUUUUGGAAAUAAGUGUUUGAC